rnacentral:rRNA from 1 species
UGGCGAACGGGUGAGUAACGCGUUGGUGACCUACCCCAAACGUGUGGGAUAACAGUUCCGAAAGAACUGCUAAUACCGCAUGUGGUUAUCGGGUUUAGAAACUGAUAACUAAAGGAGCAAUUCGCUUUGGGAGGGACCUGCGUCCCAUCAGCUAGUUGGUGAGGUAACGGCUCACCAAGGCUACGACGGGUAGGGACCUGAGAGGGUGGCCCCCCACAAUGGAACUGAAACACGGUCCAUACACCUACGGGUGGCAGCAGUAGGGAAUAUUGCACAAUGGGCGAAAGCCUGAUGCAGCAACGCCGCGUGUGCGAUGAAGGCCUUCGGGUCGUAAAGCACUUUUCUGAGAGAUGAGAAAGGACAGUAUCUCAGGAAUAAGUCUCGGCUAACUACGUG